GUUUCCGUUGAUCCUGCGGAAGAUUGCUGCUAUGGGAGUUCGAUUAAGCCAUGCAAGUCAGAGGGCUCGCAAGAGCACAGGCUGAAGGCUCAGCAACACGUCAAUAAUCUGCCCUUAGGCAGGGGAUACCCUUGGGAAACUGAGGUUAAGACCCUAUAGGUAAGAGAAACUGGAAUGUUCUUUUACUCAAAGGCAACGCCUAAGGAUGAGUUGGCGGCUGAUUAGGCUGUUGGUAGUGUAACGGACUACCAAACCUUUGAUCAGUACGGGCCGUGAGAGCGGGAGCCCGGAGAAGGGUACUGAGACACUGACCCUAGCCCUACGGGGUGCAGCAGGCGCGAAACCUUUACACUGCACGCAAGUGCGAUAAGGGAACUCCCAGUGCUCAGGCAUUGCUUGGGCUUUUGCCAAGUGUAAAAAGCUUGGCGAAUAAGUGGUGGGUAAGACGGGUGCCAGCCGCCGCGGUAACACCCGCGCCACGAGUGGGAAUCAUAUUUAUUUGGCCUAAAGCGUUCGUAGCCGGAUAGGUAAGUCUUGGGUGAAAUCGUUGCGCUUAACAAAACGGCGUGCCUGAGAUACUGUCUAUCUUGAGACCGGGAGGCGUUAGGGGUAUUUCGGAGGGAGCGGUAAAACAUACUCGCUGCAGCUCGUAGCUGUAAACGAGUGUUUACAGUGCUAUAAUCUCCGGAGGACCACCUGUGGCGAAGGCGCCUAACGAGAACGGGUCUGACGGUGAGGAACGAAAGCUAGGGGAGCAAACCGGAUUAGAUUCUGGGGCUUUUGGAUGAUUUUUAUUUUUUUGCUUGAGAAAAAAUUACUAUAAUAAAAAUCAAAGCAAUCAAGAGCAUACAACCCAGUUAAAGACCCGAGUAGUCCUAGCCGUAAACGCUGCGAACUAGAUGUUGCGUAAUCUUCGUGGUUACGCAGUGUCGGAGUGAAGACAUUAAGUUCGCCGCCUGGGAAGUACGGUCGCAAGGCUGAAACUUAAAGGAAUUGGCGGGAGAGCACCACAAGGGGUGCGGCGUGCGGUUCAAUCUAACUCUACGCAGAG
rnacentral:rRNA from 1 species